rnacentral:rRNA from 1 species
UACAGAGGUGGCAAGCGUUGUUCGGAAUUACUGGGCGUAAAGGGCGCGUAGGCGGUCCGAUAAGUCCCGUGUGAAAUCCCUCGGCUCAACUGAGGAAUGGCACGGGAAACUGACGGGCUUGAGUUCGGGAGAGGGAAGCGGAAUUCCGGGUGUAGCGGUGAAAUGCGUAGAUAUCGGAAGGAACAUCAGUGGCGAAGGCGACUUCCUGGACCAAUACUGACGCUCAGGUGCGAAAGCGUGGGGAGCAAACAGG